CUCAGGGGCAGAGCUCUCCACCAUGGCCUGGGCUCCCAUUCUCCUCAUACUCAUCACUCACUAUGCAGGGUCCUGGGCUCAGUCUGCCCUGACUCAGCCUCCCUCAGUGUCUGGGUCCCUGGGACAGACGGUCACCAUCUCCUGUGCUGGGAGCAGCAGCGACAUUGGGGAUGAUGUCAUGGGGGAUUAUGUGUCCUGGUACCAACAGCACCCAGGCAUGGCCCCCAAACCCAUCAUUUAUGAGGUCAGUGAACGGCCCUCAGGGAUCCCUGAUCGCUUCUCUGGCUCCAAGUCUGGGAACACGGCCUCCCUGAGGAUCUCUGGGCUUCAGCCUGAGGAUGAGGCAGAUUAUUUCUGUGCAUCACCUUCCAGCAGUGACACUCUCCACAGUGGUCCAAGAUCAUGGGGAAGUGACACCAAAACCUCCAUCUUUGAUAUCUGCUGCCUCUUUGGUUCAUCAGCAGGGCUGCAGGGGCUUCCAUAA